GUCUACGACCAUGCUAUCCUGAAUAUGCCCGAUCCCAUCUGAUCUCGGAAGCUAAACAGGGUCGGGCCUGGUUAGUACUUGGAUGGGAGACCACCUAGGAAGACCAGGUGCUGUAGGCG
rnacentral:rRNA from 1 species